ACGCUAGCGACAGGCUUAACACAUGCAAGUCGAGGGGCAGCACAGGUAGCAAUACCGGGUGGCGACCGGCGCACGGGUGAGUAACGCGUAUGCAACUUACCUAUCAGAGGGGGAUAACCCGGCGAAAGUCGGACUAAUACCGCAUGAAGCAGGGGCCCCGCAUGGGGAUAUUUGCUAAAGAUUCAUCGCUGAUAGAUAGGCAUGCGUUCCAUUAGGCAGUUGGCGGGGUAACGGCCCACCAAACCGACGAUGGAUAGGGGUUCUGAGAGGAAGGUCCCCCACAUUGGUACUGAGACACGGACCAAACUCCUACGGGAGGCAGCAGUGAGGAAUAUUGGUCAAUGGCCGAGAGGCUGAACCAGCCAAGUCGCGUGAGGGAUGAAGGUUCUAUGGAUCGUAAACCUCUUUUAUAAGGGAAUAAAGUGCGGGACGUGUCCCGUUUUGUAUGUACCUUAUGAAUAAGGAUCGGCUAACUCCGUGCCAGCAGCCGCGGUAAUACGGAGGAUCCGAGCGUUAUCCGGAUUUAUUGGGUUUAAAGGGUGCGUAGGCGGCCUUUUAAGUCAGCGGUGAAAGUCUGUGGCUCAACCAUAGAAUUGCCGUUGAAACUGGGGGGCUUGAGUAUGUUUGAGGCAGGCGGAAUGCGUGGUGUAGCGGUGAAAUGCAUAGAUAUCACGCAGAACCCCGAUUGCGAAGGCAGCCUGCCAAGCCAUUACUGACGCUGAUGCACGAAAGCGUGGGGAUCAAACAGGAUUAGAUACCCUGGUAGUCCACGCAGUAAACGAUGAUCACUAGCUGUUUGCGAUACACUGUAAGCGGCACAGCGAAAGCGUUAAGUGAUCCACCUGGGGAGUACGCCGGCAACGGUGAAACUCAAAGGAAUUGACGGGGGCCCGCACAAGCGGAGGAACAUGUGGUUUAAUUGGAUGAUACGCGAGGAACCUUACCCGGGUUUGAACGCAUUCGGACCGAGGUGGAAACACCUUUUCUAGCAAUAGCCGUUUGCGAGGUGCUGCAUGGUUGUCGUCAGCUCGUGCCGUGAGGUGUCGGCUUAAGUGCCAUAACGAGCGCAACCCUUGCCACUAGUUUCUAACAGGUAAAGCUGAGGACUCUGGUGGGACUGCCAGCGUAAGCUGCGAGGAAGGCGGGGAUGACGUCAAAUCAGCACGGCCCUUACAUCCGGGGCGACACACGUGUUACAAUGGCGUGGACAAAGGGAAGCCACCUGGCGACAGGGAGCGAAUCCCCAAACCACGUCUCAGUUCGGAUCGGAGUCUGCAACCCGACUCCGUGAAGCUGGAUUCGCUAGUAAUCGCGCAUCAACCAUGGCGCGGUGAAUACGUUCCCGGGCCUUGUACACACCGCCCGUCAAGCCAUGGGAGCCGGGGGAAAAUGAAGUCCGUGUCC
rnacentral:rRNA from 1 species